rnacentral:rRNA from 1 species
GGUUAGCUAAUACCGCAUACGUCCUACGGGAGAAAGCAGGGGAUCGCAAGACCUUGCGCCGAUAGAUGAGCCGAAGUCGGAUUAGCUAGUUGGUGAGGUAACGGCUCACCAAGGCGACGAUCCGUAGCUGGUCUGAGAGGACGACCAGCCACACUGGGACUGAGACACGGCCCAGACUCCUACGGGAGGCAGCAGUGGGGAAUAUUGGACAAUGGGGGCAACCCUGAUCCAGCGACGCCGCGUGUGUGAAGAAGGCCUGCGGGUUGUAAAGCACUUUUAGUGGGGAUGAAAUGUGCAGGGUUAAUACCUCUGCAUUUUGACCUAACCCACAGAAAAAGCACCGGCUAACUCUGUGCCAGCAGCCGCGGUAAUACAGAGGGUGCAAGCGUUAAUCGGAAUUACUGGGCGUAAAGCGUGCGCAGACGGUUCGAUAAGUCGGGUGUGAAAGCCCCGGGCUCAACCUGGGAAUUGCAUUCGAGACUGUCGAGCUAGGGUGCGGAAGAGGGAAGCGGAAUUUCCGGUGUAGCGGUGAAAUGCGUAGAUAUCGGAAGGAACACCAGUGGCGAAAGCGGCUUCCUGGUCCAGCAC